rnacentral:snRNA from 1 species
GUCCCUUUGGGGACAUCCGAUAAAAUUGGAACGAUACAGAGAAGAUUAGUAUGGCCCCUACGCAAGGAUGACACGCAAAAAUCGAGAAAUAACAUGGGAAAUAAAUUGUU